AAAGUUUGACCUCAAAAAAGAGUUUUUUCGUGUAAUUCUUGCCCCCAUUUAAGUGAAUUUCUAGAUCCGUCCCUCGUAACCCGGUAUGACCUGACACGCCUUCCAGUAAUAGUGGUUCCUUGCCCGGAUGAAACAUGUAUGGCUCGGUUCGGCCGACACUGACGCUGAGAGACGAAAGCUACUUUACCUCGUAUCAUCUUUCUACAGGUCAAAGCACUCCUUUUGAUGGAAGCGCCACAUGUUAUACCUUCUUAUAAUAAAUACAAUAAAUAGUUAUUUGUGUUAUAAUAGAAGUCUUGGUUUUGAAAAAAAUGGAUGAGAGUUGGGCCCAUCGCAUCUGAACCGUAAACCGGCAUGAUAAGUUUGAACAACCUGUUUGGUCGGCAAUAACAAUGACAUGUAAUAUUUUUAAGUGGCUCAUUUGUAAAAUUUAUCACAAGGGUUAUGAAAGAAAGAUAACGCUAUUGAGGACAUAUUUGUGAAAUCUAUUUUAACAUUUCCAAAAGAAAUAUAACACUAUUGAACUUACUUUGAGAAACAUCUCUAUUAAAAAACUUUUUUAAAUUUAUCUUAUUGAAAUAUAGAGUUAAGUUCUAUGAAGAUCACUUUUUUUUAAAGACCGUGGAGAUCACUUAUGUUCAGCAAGUAAAACAUUGCAUAAAAAUAUUGCAAAACGUAUAUUAUUACAAAUCAUGUUGUACAAAAUUAUUAUUUCAUUUUAAAUCUUGAAUAUCAUAUAAAUUUUACAUGUAGAACAUUACAAAAUGUUUUAUUCUACAAAAUAUGUUUAGCUGGCGGAACAUUUGUUGAAUUUGCAAAACAUACAUUAUUUACUUAUUAAACAUAGACGAUCUUCAACAAUUUCAUAAAUACAUGAUAUUUGUAGAACAUACUUCACAAAAAAUGUAUUUUAUAGUGUUUUGAUUGCAGAACAUACGUGGUCUCUGAUGAAAUUGUGAUCUCCAUGGAACUUUCCUCUUAAAAUAUAACAUAAUAUUCAUUUGAAAUUUUUUCUAACAUCUUGAGAUUUUAAAUUGUCGGUGUUUAAGUAGAGAUUCUUUAUUAUUGUUUAGAUAUUUUUCUGAUAAAUAAAUAUUAAUAAUAUUUUUCAAGAAUGUAUGAACCAUAUCUUCCCCACAGAUUCCAAACAAUCAUACUCUGACACAUGUCCAUGUCCUCUCCAAGAUUCACCCGUCUCUCUGCAUGAACACAGACCAAACUCAACUACAAUGCACACCCUCACAAAUUCCUCCACCACCGCCGCCGUCUUAUUCCACUCCUCACGCAUCCCAACGCAUCUCCGACCAACUCCCCAUUCACUCAAUAUCUCCCCACACUCAAUAUCAACCAUCCACUCAAUCUCUCCCCACACUCUCUGUUGCUCCCAGCCCAAACCCACAAAAACCCAGACCCGGAUCCGACCCAUUUCAUCAUCCCCUGAGCAGAACCAACUCACUGAUCCAACCCCUCAAGAACAAUCCAAGCUAAUACCCUUGAUUUUCUCAAUCUCAGUUGGGUUAUUCUUAAGGUUCUUGAUCCCAAAACCCCAUGAACUUACAUUACAAGCAUGGCAACUACUCUCAAUCUUUGUAUCCACUAUUGCUGGCUUAGUCUUAAGCCCUUUGCCUGUUGGAGCAUGGGCUUUUUUGGGCUUAACUACCAGCAUUGUUACAAAAACCACUACUUUUUCUACUGCAUUUCAUGCUUUUACUAAUGAAGUUAUCUGGUUGAUUGUGAUCUCAUUCUUUUUUGCUCGAGGUUUCGUAAAGACUGGAUUAGGAGACAGGGUUGCUACUUAUUUUGUUAAGUGGUUGGGGAAAAGUACUCUGGGAUUGUCUUAUGGUUUGACAUUGAGCGAGGCUUUGAUUGCUCCUGCUAUGCCUAGUACUACUGCGAGAGCCGGAGGGGUGUUUUUGCCUAUUAUUAAGUCGUUGUCGUUGUCCGCGGGGAGUAAGCCUAAUGAUCCUUCUGCGAGAAAGCUGGGGUCUUACCUUGUGCAGUCUCAGUUUCAGGUGAGCUUUUCAGGUGUCUGAAUUUGUGGUUAAACAUUGAAUUCUUUUAUUUAUUUUUGCAAAAUUUAAGCCUUUGUCAUAGUGCCCAUCCGUGUGAGUGAACGAUGCCACGGAUUUUUGUUUAUAAAAUCAUAUGAUGUAGAAGUGUUGUAAAUUUGGUUGAGUCUAUUGUUCUAACAUAUAUAAUACUAGAUUUUUUGAUGGAUGUUGAAAUUUGUUGGUACUGAAAUGUAUUUGCAAGCCAUUAUAAUCAUUGGUAUAGUAGUUAUUAUCUAAUUGCUUUUGGCGGUAUAGAAAAGGAUCAUAGAGUAUAUAUAGCAAGUAAUGGCUGUUGGUUCGAAAGUAUUCAGUUCUGUAAUUGCUAGUAUAUUUGAGGCUUAUAAUCCACCGUUUCUGAUGGAUAACAGUCUUCUGGUAAUUCUAGUGCACUUUUCCUGACUGCUGCGGCUCAAAACUUAUUAUGCCUCAAACUAGCCGAGGAACUUGGCGUGAUUGUUUCAAAUCCAUGGGUUGCUUGGUUCGAGGCUGCUAGCUUGCCCGCAUUUGUAUCUCUUUUAGCAACUCCUUUGAUCUUGUACAAACUUUAUCCUCCUGAAAUAAAAGAUACGCCAGAGGCCCCUGCUAUGGCAACUACGAAGCUGGAGCUUAUGGGUCCAGUCUCAAAGAACGAAUGGGUUAUGAUUGGUACAAUGGCUCUUGCAGUCUCCUUGUGGAUAUUUGGGUAUGUAAUAUUUCUCACUUCACAUUAAUUUUCAUUUGAUGCUUUAUGUUGUAUUUGGUUGGGGUGAAUGAAUAUGGAAGGAAUGGAAUGAUAUUUGAACUAUGUUUUGUACAUUUGUUUAUAAAUUUCAUUCCUUCCUCCAUUCCAUUCCUUCCACCCAAUAUUAGAUAUCACACCCCCAAUUUGGGAAGGAAUGCUGCAUUCCCGACUAUUCUCAAUUUCUUUUUAAAUCACAUCAUAACAAUUUUGCACUCACUCAAUUUUUUUCCAAACUUUCCCUCCUACCUCUAUUAUUUUCAUUUAUUUUUAGUCAUUUCAUUCCAUUCCAUUUCAUUCUCCCCAACCAAACACAACAAUAGAGUUCUAUAAACCAAAACAAAAAUACCCAUAUAAUCAAAAAUUAAGUUUGAUAAGAGUCCCAAAUGUUUAUAUAAAUUCUAUCGGCUAGACCGGAGGACCUGACAAUUAUCUUGUAUUAGCGGACUAACUAAUUUACAUCUGAUGCUUUAGUAGAAAAGAUCUUCUAAGUAAGAUAUCUUGAGAAAAAGUUAAAACAUGUGACGUUUUAAUUCUCAAUCCCACUGUAAUGGAGAGAUUGAGCACAAAUUCUUGGAUAGCUGUGUGACCAGUAAAUAUUAAUCCAAUGAGGGUAGAUCCAGGCAUAUAUUAGUGGCGGGAUGGAGGUCAUAAACCAAAAUUAAAUGAAUUUUUAUUUUAUGCAGUUAAACAUUCUUACUAGGGACAAGAAACAAAUAUACAAUAGCGAGGUUAUUUAUUUUUUAGUAAAUGAAUAGUAUGUUUGUUUCUCGUAUAAUGUUUUUAUUAGUUUAGAUAAAGGUUUUGAUUUAAAAUUUAUAUGUUUUAAGUGGUAGAUGAAAUCAUGUUUAAAAUCUAGGUAGAGUCAAAAAGUUAACUAAAACUUGAUGUCUAUAACAAUAAAGUUCGAGUAUGUAAUAAAUGAAAGUGUUUAGUAAUUUUGAAGAAGAUGUUAGGAAGUCACAUUUUGAAAACAAGUACUUAUUGAAUGGAUAAAGUAAAAAUCAAUUUUAACUAGAUAGAACGAGAAAUGCACAUGAGUGGGAGCAGGGGCGGAUCUAAAAUGAUUAUUUGAGGGGGCACUAGGCAAAUUUUCGGAAUUCGCCCUUAUAAUUUCAAAUAUUACAGGGGCACUUCUAUAAUUUUAUAAGAUUUAUAACAAUGAAUGAANGGGCCCCCCCCCCCCCCCCCCCCACAAAUGUCCCUUACCAGAUCCGCCCCCUUACUAGAUCCGCACCGCACCUGAGUGGAAGAGAAUCCACGUAGGCCAAAAAUCCACAACGUUGUUGCAUGCAAAGUUUGUAUGGAUAUUUAGAGGCAUUGUUAACUGACCAAAAGAUUUUGGUCUUAGUUCCAAUGAAAUCUUAUUAGAUUUUUAUUGAGUAAUUAAGUAUUCAAUUGGUUUUAUUGCUUAAUGCAUGUAGCAAAAUUAUUACUUUAGCUCAUCAAUCCAAGUCAAGACCCAAAAAAUUUACAGUAUCAUAUUAUGAGACAUUACAUUGUGAAAGUGUGCUAUAAAUUUUUGGGGAUUCGUUGUUUUGUGAACUAAUAUAAAACAUUGCUUCAAAUGAUUAAACUAUUUUUUCAAAGCAGAGUUUAUUGUCUGAGCACAAAAGUAAUUCAAGACUUGCAUGACUACUGUUUUAUUUUAUUUGUAAUACCAGUUCAUAAACUAAUAUUUAUUAUUUAGUGAAGCUAUAGGUAUAUCAAGUGUUGUUGCUGCUAUGAUUGCCUUGUCUAUACUUUUGUUCUUGCGGGUGCUUGAUUGGGAUGACUGUUUAAGCGAAAAAUCAGCCUGGGAUACUUUGGCUUGGUUUGCAGUACUUGUAGGAAUGGCAGGUCAAUUGACAGAUCUUGGAAUUGUGGCCUGGAUGUCUGGUAGUGUAUCACAAUCACUUCAAGCUCUUUCUUUGAGCUGGCCUGUGGCAUUUGUGAUUCUUCAGACAGCUUACUUCGUGAUUCACUAUUUAUUUGCGAGUCAAACUGGUCAUGUGGGAGCUUUAUACUCUGCUUUCCUCGCUAUGCACUUGGCAUCUGGGGCACCUGGGAUGUUGUCAGCUCUUGCUUUAGCUUUUAACACUAGUCUAUUCGGCGCUAUAACACAUUAUAGCAGUGGUCAGGCUGCUGUUUACUUUGGAGGUAUGUUAACGGUUAACCUCCUCAUAUCAUUCUCUUUGGACACUUUGAUUCUUCUCAGUACUUUUAAAGUACAUACAUAAAUGAUAAAUAUUAAUCUCUCAAGUCCUAAAGGCUAGAGGAUAGCAUGUAUAAAAACAUUUUCUUCAUAAUAAAUGAGCCCAUUCUAUCUUGCAGCCACCAAAGUAUCAGUCGAUUCUGUCAUUUGCAUGAUUUGUUUGUGAUUGAUACUUUAAAAAUAUUCUGUGUUAUGUUCUUUUAUUUAGUCUAAUUAUUAUGUCUAUAUUUUGUUGUCAACAGCUGGCUAUAUAGAGCUCCCUGAUAUAUUCAAGAUAGGUCUGCUAAUGGCCCUUGUUAAUGUCUUGAUUUGGGGUGGUGUUGGGACCUUUUGGUGGAAAUUUUUGGGUUUAUAUUAAUUUCAAGUUGCACAGCAGUAAAUAUUCUUUUGUAGACCUGUGUGGAAUCCUAAAGCUCGGAAAACUGUCACAGUUUUAGCUUUUUUAUAUUGAUCCGAGCUCUCUAAGUCAUUAGUCUGGUGUAGUAGGAAGUUCCACUAAUUUGUAAAUUUUGUAUAACUAUAUUUUAUGAAGAUAUAGUGAAGUAUUUGCUGCCUCUGGUAUAAAGAUCUGAUACACUCAUUGUUGUGAGGCCGAGGCCAUUGUUUUUCCUUUUCUGCAAUAUCAAUCUUUGAAAUGCUUGUGUCCUAUAGGGCAAAAAUUACAUUAUAUGGAAGGCAUUUUUACAAUACAACACUGGUUUUCAUCAAUGCCAAUUGAUCACCAGUUUUUAUGUAGUACAAAAGAUCAUGAUAAUUUCGCGAUAGCAUUUCUAGCAGGUGCAUAAGAAAAAAUUUCAACUCAUCCCGAUUCUUGACUGACAUAUUUCUGUGUAAUCUGUCUGUAUGUUGAUCAAAUGCUGAUAAUCCUCAUGCACUUCAGUCUUGAUAUUUAACGCAUAGUGGCACUCUGAUCUCUGUUCAUCUGUAUUUGAUAUAUUUACAAUUAGUUUACUAGUGCUCAUAGUCAUACAUAUGUAUGUGUCUGAUUGGUUUUAGGCUAUCACUAUCUUGGAAUUUGUUUGUCGAUAUCCAUUCCAUAAUCAUCAAAAUCAAUGUGACUGCUAUACUUUCUACGGUCUCGAGCAGGCCGUUUCAGAUUAUCAAAUAUUUCAUCCAGGGACUCAGUUUUGGAGGCCUCUGGGGACUCUUUGAGGUUAUUUUCAUCCGAUUCACGUAGAUAUAGGAAUUUUUUGGCUUCAAUAUUGGUCUUAAUACUUUGGAAACCUGUCUUCAUGGUUUCCCAGGUUGCUGUAACCCUAGACUGCGAUGUGCUUGUGGUGUUACUAGUGUCACCUCCAUCAUUUGAACUUUCUACAGAAGGUCUGUUCACUGAUGAACUUGGGUCCAUCUCAUCUUCCUUCUGAUGUGAUCUUACAGCUUUAUACUUCUUUCCAAUGAUUUCGCCAUCCCCACUCGAACUGGCAUUUGAUUUCUUAUCAACCGCAACCUUGUCAAGACAUGGAUAACAUGUCAGUGAGAUAAAUUACCCAGUUCACCUUCUCUUCUGAUCAAUAUGGGCAAAGAGCAAAAAAAAAAAAAGAAGCAAAUUGAACAAUGCAAUAAAACACUGCUUCUGCAAUAGGCAUAAACAUCCUGAGAAAACUGCAAGAGUCCACACACACACACACAAAUAGUUAUGAUGUUGAUUACUAACAGAUUUAAUUCAUCCCCAGAUGAGGCAUAUAAAAUGUUCCAGAAAGAUAAUUGGAAUUUCAAAUAUGGUGGUUGCAGUGUACAACUAAGUGAAAGUACUUGGUUUGUUAAACAUAUAUAACAAUUUUUCGCAGAUAAGUUGGUAUAUACCGUGCUGUUACUGGCAGAUUCAAUAUCUGAAUUUGCGUCGUAAAUGAUCCUUGCCAAUGGAAUGACAAGCUCGCCAACUUUAUGUCCUUGCUGAAGCCAAGUCCGUUCUGAGAAGACAGGGAAAUGUUUCAAUUUGACAAUAUGUCGACUUGAGAGAAAUAAGCAUAUCCAAAUUUAAGUAGCUUGGAUAUGCAGUUGUACCACAGUACUUCUGCAGAGAAAGCUCAGAAAUUAAAACUAACCUUUCCUCAAUAUGAUUACUCCAGAGGGAUCAUACCCGUCUAAAAUUUCAGCAGCUUCACUUUGGUAACUAAAUAUUUUCCAAUUUCCAAGAUAACUCACAAUGCGGUCAAAAAAGUUGCUGGUGAUCAAUAUGGUGUACGUAACCAUGAUAAGCGGAUAUAUUUUAUUGAAUCGUCUACCAAAGAAGGGCACAGCAUCAUCGAUGUUCCCCAUUCUCUGUGCUUGUUAUAAGAUUUUAAUCAGUAUUCACAUACCAAAUGUUAUAAUCAGUACCUAGAUGAAAGAAUGUCAAUGACCUUGUAAAUGACAUGAUUCUGAGAACCUUAUAUAUUAUGUAAUAAUAUCAACAUUAAUUUGCCUUUGUUAAGUACCAGCAGUUGAAGCAAAAUUAAAAGAGACAUGCUGAUGUUUCCAAAAGAAAUAAAAAUAAGAACAGUUAUAUAUGCGGAAAUUAGAAACUACAAGAACAUAUAACCUUUUCAAAAACUGUCUUGCGGGUUUUGACACUUUUAGGAAGCCGGAUAAGAUUGAGAAAAUUGUAUGAAAUAGGAGCUGCAUAUCUUGCAACCUGCCUGGUAUUCAUAUGGAGUGAGAUGGUAAAAAAAGCACAGAAUAAGUAGCAAUCUGAGUACUGUAUUGGACAAAAUGCAACAAGGAAUAUACCUACCCACAUAUCCUAAGCAAGCUAACUGAGCUUGUUUGUCUCGGUGUAAAUGAGAAAAACGUUAAUGUUCCAAAUUUGAACAGAGAGUAGUAUGUGCAGACACACAUAUACACGAGAGGAGUAAAAGCAAACCCCUGCAAAAGUAAAAGCAAAAUGAGGAGACAAUUUUUAAGAUUCCAGUCAUAAAUUCAUAAUAUGCCAACUCCCCAAGUAAGAAGCUUCGAAGGACUAAUUUUACGUCUAACCAAUCAUGAUAUCAGCAAAAUGUUCAAAUGUGAAUAUUUGAAUCUACACAAGUACUUAAACUAAGACAAUUUUCAAUUCGAUGAUUUUAGCCAGUGCUACUGCGGUGACAUUUUAGUAGUUACUACCGAUAUGAAACAUAGUAUAAAAUGGAAGAAAAUUACGUUAAAUAUAUAGCCCCAGACACCAGAAAAUGAUCAUGUAGAAAAAGCGAGGCUUAAAAUAAAAGACAAAUCCUCAUAUUUCUCUGUUUUAUAUUCUUUAAAAGGACCAAAAUUUAUAGGGUCGAUCAUGAUAAACUGCUACGGCAGGUUGUUUAGGUACUAAGCUCGUAGUUAGGCAUUUGGUUAGUCGACUUAAGGAGAACUAAAGCCUUAAUAGAACUUAUAAAAACUGUAGCCUUAAUCAACAUAUUGUGGGAAGAAUUACCUGCACAAGCACCUCAUGUUUCCCAACCAAUUUUAUAAGAUUCGAAAACAGAGACAAGUCUACUCCGCUAGGCAGUAUAGUGGCCUCGGCUAAAAGAAUAGAAGCUGACAAGAAGCCAAGAAUGAUAGAGAAAAGUCUAUCAAGUUGUUUUUGCAGGAUGCACCGCCAGACCAACUCUGCACCAAAUUACCACAAUGAUUUUUUACACAUUGGUCAUAUAUGCAAUUUCCUGGUUAAAUUGCAAACUUAAUAUUUCAUUUAUUUUUUUAGAAUUAAUCUGUCACAAAUGUAGUAGGAAAAAAAUGCGUAGUUUAAGAUACCCAUAAUAUCUAAGAAAGACCCAAAGGUUCCAGAUCUCUGAACCCUAAAGCUUGAAACGUAUUUCCUGAAAAUUUAUGAUGAUAAUCGACUUAGAAACCAAAUAAUACAAUAAAAUAAAGAUAAUUAGACACAUUACUGGCUAACAUUGCAAGCACAAGUCGAAGAUUUUGAGAUGCUUACAAAAUUCAGAAUAUUUUCCAAAUAAUUCGAACAUGUGUAAUGUUUAAUUGGGCCAAAAGUGUAGGGAUGUAAAAAGAAAAUAUUCACAUUUGCGGAAGAUUUAUUUGUUGGAAAAUUAAAAGUCCCUCCAUGAAUGAUUCAUAAUUACAGUAAUUAGGUAAUACCCAUAAAACGAAAAAGAAAUGACUGGGUUAAGAGCAAACCAUCCAGUUGAAUCACGGUGUUCAUAAUUCUUUAAAGUGUCUUCCAGCUCAAGAGCUUCUGUUACAGAACUUAUGUAUUCGCUGUGAACAAAUGAUUCCAAGAAUAAGUAAAUUGUAACGUGAUAAGAACACACAUACAAGACUUAAGUAAAUUGUUAUGCGAGUUAGUAGAGAAGUAACUAAAAGGAUAAGAGUGUAUGCAACCACAAAACUAGUUGAUCACUUCAGAUAGCACAUACCUUCUGUAUCGAUAGUAUCUUUCUCGUGCUCUCCUUAAAUGACGUCUCAACUGUGCCAUACUUUUGUCGUUUGUAUCAUAAUCCAUGUCAUUUUCACCUAAAUUUCCACCUUGGGGUUUGAAAGUGGGAUCUUCAUUAAGCUGAAUAUAUAGCACUGGAAUGAGUGCAUAUGCAUCUGGCUCGUAGAAGAAAUUUUAUGCACAGAAAAGGGAUCACAAGACUACAUGCAUAAUUACCAUCUGUUGCAGUAACUUGUCAAUGAUAUUCAUGUAAGGUCUUAAAGGAUCACGCCUGGACAUCUGCUUUGAUGUUGCUUGAGUAACCUAUUUCAGCAAAGAAUUUGCCAAAUAAUGUUAUGUUAAACAAUGCAUAUACGAACAGAUUUCAAAUGCGUAAGGACUUUAAGGGACGAACAAAUCUCUAUUAGCUCCGUAGUAUACUAGCAGGGUGUAUAUAUGACUGCAUUUGCCCUGCAAACAGAUCUUGACAGAGUAUGCCUGACAAAUGCUCCUAUUUGUAAAAAUCGGUAUUUUUCAAUUUAUAAGGGUCUUACCACUAUAGCGUUUGAAAAAUCCUGAUGAGCACCAUCAAGUUUCACAGCCAUCCUAGCUACUUUAUGAGAUAGAGCCUUUUGGCGAUUGAUCCAUUCAGCAUUUCGCCAUAGGCCCUUUGGAAUUUCACUCAAACCAAAGCCGAGCAGAAACGCACCGGUCACGAGUCCAAAAGUAUUCGAGCAAGCCAUGGCAAAACCAAGAAUACCACCACUCCUACAUGUUCACAACUUAUAUAAGAAUGAAUGAAAACGAUAAACACACCUACGUGCAGUUAAUUCUGAAUUGUCUAAAUUUAGAAUAGAACAAUAAACGUUCUUGCACAAUUUGGUUAGGGCCGAGGCUAUAUGUUCAGCUAUGAUUAAGGUAGUUCUAUGUGAACUCAUUAGGGCAUUCCAAGGUGGGAUGCUUUCCUUUGGUGGCAUCAGAUACAACUACGUAAACAUUGUGAAUUUCCCAGAAUAGUGACAUGCUGACUCCAAAAUUUUGAUUCUGACUCAGUUUUGUGCUCACUUAGUUCACAUUUUAUAUAUAGUACUAGGAAUGGUAUUAUGUAAGAUAACUGCUAGAAGGUAAACAAACCAGUUUGCGCGCAGAAUAAAGAGCAGUAUAAGACCACAAAGCGCAAUAGAGGCGACACACAUGUGGAAGAAUAAAUUAGCGUGCAGACUGGUCUUCAAUCUUUCUGUUAGUGUGAAGUCCCCAGCAUCUUCAUAACCCUGAAUUAUAGGCACCACAGCCCUGCUUAGACAAAUAGUUACAUAUAAAUCUAUUUGAACAAGUGCAUAUUUAUGCUGCAAACACAGACAAGUCAUCAAAGUGCCAAACAAAUAAAUUCACUUAAAUUAAAAAUUUUAAUCAACAUAACUCAAAAUUUAACACCCCUGAGUCUAGACUGUCCUCUAAGGCUAUAUAUUCGAGCUGUUUGAUACUGCAAGUCCUUCUUGAGACCGCGGUUAUUUUGGCAAUGCAAGUUCAGAAGAAGCAACUAUAAUCACCCUUGUGAACGUAAUUUAAUAAACAUAGGCAUGAUCUAAACAGAGGAGGAUGAAAAUCAUAUUUAUGAGCACAAUUGUAAUUUCAAGAUCAGGCAGCAACUACUAAUGAGCCCAAGCAGAAGUUAAAUCAUAAGAAUUGAUCGUAGAGGACGUGGGAUUAGUACCAAGUAAGCAUAAAUGUGCUCCAAUAUGAAAGACUCCAGAAGAACGAUAAUUCUCGCAAAUCUUCUCCAAUGAUAGCCUGCAUGAAGGCGAAAGCACAAACAAUAUAUGUGCAUCAGUAGAACAGAACAAAAAUGACAAAAAUUUGAUAGGAAAUAAUACUAUCAGUUUAUCAUUAACCUCCAAAUCAAGUUAAUUUGCUAGAAAAACAUAUAUGCCUUAUAAACGAUAAUACAACACGCCCCUAUAUCAAUGACCUCUUGGUCAUAUGGUAUCUUUCUCGUACCCCAAGUAUCAAUGACCUCUUGAUCAGAUGAUAUCUCCCUCUUUCUGCUUACCAGAGGUCGGAGGUUCGAAUCUCGUCAAAGACAAGGUGAGUGUGUUUAAUUAUAAAAAAACACGCCCGUCUCAUAAUAGAACAUGCACAACAAUGCAUUAUGCAACACACACGAGCUUACAAGCAAAAAACAGAAAAGAAAGGAACAUACACACCAAAUGUCAACCGGGACAAGGAUGAUGAUAGAGAUAGAAGAAAACCAAGUGUAACCCACGAGAAAAAGAACGUAACGUGGCACUUCUGGCCCAGCAAAAUAUUUCAACGUUAACAUCACCAUUGCCAUUGUUAAUGGCAGCGAGAAAAUGUAAAAAACCCACAUGCUUGUCCUGUUUUUUUUUGCUUUUCUACCUGUAAUUAUCGGAGAAGAAAUGAUUUAUAUGCCUUUUGUUUUAAUGAUUUAAAGCUCUUUGUUGUAAUGCAGAGACCCUGGUUAAUGGGAGCUCCCAUUUGUUGCCGUUUUCAUUUGGGUUUCUUGUUUCGCCUCCAAAUUAACGGCCGUUUAUCAUUUUUAGUUUCGAUUAAAAUACACUUUUGGUAUUGAGGUUUACUAUAUUAGUCGGUCAACUUUAUUUUAUAACACAAGCAAAGCCAUUCCUGUCAAGAUUUUGUCCAUCAGGGGCCUUAUCAGUAUUAGUAGUAUAACAUGCAUGAUUAACCUUAUCUGAGUGUACACGGUUCGGGUUGGUCGGUUUACCGGAAUCUAACAACCCAAUCCAAUUAAAUUGGGUUUUCAAAAUUUCAAACCAACCCGAACCGUGUAAACCUUAAAACCAAACCAAUUUGUAAUGUUUCGGUUUGGAUCGGUUAGUCGGUUUAUUAAAAGGUAUAAGUUUUGAAAUGAUUACUGUUUACUCAUCAUGACACCACAAGUAUAUGAAGUUUUAAAGUUCAUGUAACAUAUGAAGUUUUGAAAUUUUGAUUGUUUUUAUUGUUGCAGCUUGUAUGAUCAGGUUUACAAGCCUAAUAAACAGUUCAGGCAAAAAUAAUGCUAUCACCAGUGAGCUCAUUAGCUUGCAAAACACUCGUGUUAACAGCUCCUGUAACCCUAAACAUUCGAGAAAUCUGAUUCACAUUAUCACCCCAAUCACUAAGAUAAGCAUGAAGAUACUUAUCAACAGGCACAUUCAGUUCCAUACCAACACAAAAGCACAUUAGCUAAUUUAUGAUCGGGUUGGGUUGGUUCGGUUAAAAAAAAUCGAAAUCCAUAUACAACCCAAUUAAAUCAGGUUUAUCAUUUUUCAACCCAAAUACGUUUCGGUUUAAAAAAAUUUGGUUUGGAUCGGGUUGGUCGAUUUAACAACCUGUGUACACCUCUAACCUUAUCAAUAGAAGUUUUAUUAAUAUUUGUACUUCUAUUGAAUUAUGGCAAUGGAUCAUAAAAGUUACGAUACAAACUUUAAUAUUCAAAACAUGUAUAUAUAUAUAUAUAUAUAUAUAUAUAUAAAAUGUCAAAUACUAUCAUAAUGAAAAUAAGGAUUUUGUGGUUUAUAAAAUAUUAAGCUACCACUAGUAUAUAUUUAGGUAUCAUAACAGCCUUCUUUUUACUCUUGUUGUAAUCAGUAGUAAGAUAAUUAGAGUUAUCACAAGUAUGCAAGUUUUCUUUAGAUCAAAUGGAAUAUAUUCAUAGUGAUCUUUCUUGUUGAUGUCUUGUUUUCCAAUUUUAUUUCUUUUAGGACUUUUAGCUAGAGGCUUCCCAGUUGCCUCAGCCUCACUGAUUUUCUUUUUAAGUAAUCCUUUAAACAACAUCCUAUGUUCUUUUUACUCCUUUUUUUUCAGUAUUGACUUAUUCUUGACAUCAGUAUUUGUAUAUGUCUUAGAUGUUGAUCCCUUUUCAAAAGUUGUAAUUAGCUUUUGUAGUAAAAACAAACUUGAUAUGAGUGUUCUUAGAUCCAUUGUUCUUAAUGAUUUUUUCGUAAGAAUAAGAUUUAGCUUUGUUAGCUUUGUAUCCUAGACCUUCCUUUCAGGUUUUAUCAUAGAGAAUCUCUUGAACUUUUCUUCCAGAGUCAGUUCAUGUUCUAAUUUUAUCUUUUUUGGCUUUUAACUCAAGUUCAAGAUUGGUACAUGUCUUUCUUAUUUGAGCUUCAUUACACUUAGCUUUUUCACGUUCUUUCUUGACUUUUAACAUAAGUAUUAACUCAGAUUCAACAGUCAUUCCUUUCUUCAAGUUUGAUAUCUCAGUUAAAAGUCUCGUGUUUUCAAAGGAUUGACUUCUAAAGCUAACAUGUAAAGACUUCAGAAAAGAUUUUAAAUCAGAUAUAUUAUUUGUUAUUCAGACAAUGCAAACAAUAAAUUAGAUUGUAGAAGGGGGGUUGAAUACAAUCUACAAAAAAUUCAACUAAUUUUUGUUUAACAGAUUAUAUUCAAGUUGCAAGAGACAAUUAAAACUAAAACAGAAAUUUAAAGAACAAGGAUCUUAAAAACAAAUUAGAUUGUAGAAGGGGGGUUGAAUACAAUCUACAAAAAAUUCAACUAAUUUUUGUUUAACAGAUUAUAUUCAAGUUGCAAGAGACAAUUAAAACUAAAACAGAAAUUUAAAGAACAAGGAUCUUAAAAACUUCAGGUGGAUUGUUUGAUCCACCUGAGAGAUUUUUAUAUCAAGAGCCUUCCAAGUAACAAACUACUUGGCUGCUUACAAAAGAAUGAAGAGCGGAAGCUUACAAUUUUUUGCUCACUAUCUUUACUCUUCAGUUCUCAGUGUUUGAAUACUUUGAAAUGUAAAUUACAAAGUGAAUAUAUAUUACUACAAACAAAACUAGUCUGUAAAAGUAUUUUCUACUCAGUUUUUAGCUAUUACAAAUAUAGAAUUUCUUGGACUUGAUUGAACAUUUGGCAGCUCGAAAUUCUUGUUGCUUUGCCAUAAAUGGUAGGCUUCGAGUUUCUCAAUAUUUGCUAAACUGCUUUUGGUUUAGCUUCCAAAACUGGUGCAACAUCUGUCACAUCAACCCAUGUGCUUCUUGUCUUUUACUUGACUUGUAGUUUUCAACUGCUAGGCAUCAACUGCAAACUUUAUCAAUUGAUAGCAUCUUUGAACUAUCGAUUGAUACCAUCAUUGAACUAGCGAUUGAUAGCUUCCCAUGAUUAGCCAUUGAUGAGUUGAAGUAGCGAUUAAUAGGCUUAUUGUUUAGCCAUUGAUACUUCAUGACUAGCGAUCGAUCUUCACUUCACUUAAAUAGAUUACAUGACUUCACAUAUAUACAAUUAUGUCACCCUAUCUACUUAUCCAUUGAUAGAUCAACUGCUAAGAGUAUACAAUAUGAAUACAUCAACUGCUAAGAUGCUUCAGCUUUGUUACAGUACCUCAUCAUCCGUUGAUGGGUGAAUCUGAUCAAUGGCUACUGCCUUAGCAUGCUAUCCAUUGAUCAGCUACAUUUUAGUUUUAUUCUAAUCAAGAAUAAAACAAUUUUGUAUCAUCAAGCAUCACAAAUUUUCUAACAUUAUUAGUAUUAGAAUUAAAAGUAGGUACUUCAUAGCUAGUGUCACAUGGUCAUCAGUAGUAGCUACGAGAGCAUAGUUCACCUUCUGUAUCCUCAGAGUCAGAUGAAUACAUUCAAUCCUUUCUGGUGGAAAUGAGUUCCUUGUUUUUCCCUUUAUUAUUUAUUGGAUUUCUUGCAAUAUGUAGCAAAACGCCCCAUCUUCUUACACUUGUAGCAUUUAACUUUGGAUGAGUCAUUCUUGCCCGUCUUGUCAUCAAUAUUGUCAUCCUUUUUAUUUUAUUUCUCCAUACCAUUAUCUGCGGAUCUGUUAUGAAAAUUUCCUUGUCUUUGAGCUCUUCUAAACUUCAUCUUUUUGAACCAUUUGACUAGCAUAAUAUCCAUUUCUCGAAUGUCAGCAUUAUCACUAACUUCAUCAAUAUCCGCAUCAGGAUUUGGAUCAGUAUCCGAUGGUGAGUCAUUAGUAUUUGAUUUUACUUUCACAGCUUUCCUUCUAGAGAUCUUCAUAGCAUUUUAUUUGGUUGUUUACUAUCAACCUUCAAGGUAGUAGAUUUUGCCUUGCCGUUUUUCUUGUUCUUCCUCUGUUAAACCUCAAGAUCAUAGGUUCGUAACAUCCCAUAGAGUUCAUCAAAAGACAUAGUAUCAAGAUCAUACUUAUAUCUAAUGAUUGAAGAUUGUGUAUCCAUUCCCCAAGUAAGGCUCUCAAAAACUUAAUAUUAGAAUCUUCAGCAUCAUAUUCUUUUUUAAAUAAAGAUAAGUUGUUGAGUAAAGUAAGGAACCUGUCAUAUACAUCUGUGAGACUUUCAUCAGCUUUAGCCACAAAUUUCUCAUAUUCUUGAAUUAAGAUAGCCCUUCCGUUAUUCUUAAUUGAAUCUGUUCCUUGACAUUGAGGCUCUAGUGUAUCCCAAAUCUCCUUAGCUAUCUUACAAGCUAUCACUCCAUGUGUCUAGACUAUUGUAAAGAAUGUUCUUUACCUUUGCAUCCUUUAGCAAUUAAUUCUUUUCUUAUGGAGUCAACUUAGCCUUUUCUUUUUUUCCUAACAUCGUGUUCAGGAACUCCAUCAGUUUAUGAAACUAGUUUCUUUAGGAUGUAUGGUCGAUCAUAGAUCCUGUCAAGAUAGUUAGGGUCUAAUGCCUCAAGAUAAAUCAGUAUUUCCGCCUUCCAUUUGGAGUACCCACCCUUCUUCAUAAUAGGGAUCUUAAUGCUUUCAUACUUGUUUGUCGACAUUUUCUUAAUAUUUUUUGAUUUUCAGUAAUCAGCCCGCUCUGAUACCAAUCAUUGCCCAAGUAAUAAUCAAUUGCAGAAGGGGGGUUGAAUAAAAUUGUAUAAGAUUCUCGACUUUGAAUAAAAUAAUAAACAUAAAUAUGAAAAACAAAUAGGUUCCACUGAUUUCUUUAUAAAAACUGUUACAGAACUCUCUCAAAAAAUUUUGAUGUUCUUGAGAGCUGCUAGAUUACAAGCAUUACUUGAGUAAGCGAUUACCAUUGUUUAAACCUAUAAUUAUUUUUAUAUAUCACACAUCUACUCUAUCAAUUACAAGGUAUGCUCUGUCAAAUAUGAUAUGUUUUUUUUACAUAUCUAAACUGAUAGUUACGAUCUAAUAAAUCAUCAAUAAACAAAUCAAUCUCUACCCUGGUUUCCAGUAAUAACAGAUAUCUAAUAAGAUACUAAUAUUCUUCCAAUCUUGAUUACUCAAGUAUUGACCAGCUGCAAAUCCUAACUAACGUCAGAUCCCGACGACCAUAUAAAAUACUAAUGGUGUCAUGUUAUCAGAUCUCUUGAUCAGUCUUAUCGGAUCUUGACAAUCAUUGAAUUAACAUUUGUAACAUGGUUAAAUUUGAGAACAAUUUGUAUACACCAUGUAUAAUACCAGAAUUACUUUUACGUUCACACAGUCAAUAUAUACUGCACAGUUAAAAUAAUCAUCUAAUUGAUAUUCUAUAAAUCAGCUACAUAAAAUAUAUCAAUUAGUGAUUCAGUAUCAAUCUAUUAAAGUCCUCAGCUGUGAAUCCAUAGUGUGUAUCUUCCAUAUUUGGGACCAAUCCACUCCUGAAAACUAGCUUUGACAAACUCUGAAAAAUAUUCUCUGUUGAUAAACUCUGAUAUCUUCAGUAUCUGACAAACUCUAAUAGCAAAUCCUUAUUCUAAAUACUAAUAAGAAAAUCUGAUAUUAUCAAAUGCAUUUAACAACCAUCAUGUUCAAUAUAUUAUUAUAUCCUUGUCAUCGUUAAUAUUUUUUGGGUAGAGAUCAAUAAAAACAACAACAUAUUUUUACUUUUUUUAAAGAAAAAUUGAAUAGUAAGUGCAUUUUACUUUCAAAAAAUUGUGUAAUUCUUUUUAAAACAUUAUUGGAAAAAUAUAAUAUUAGUUGGAUUCGCAGGUCAUAUACUUCAAUGACCUGUAUUUGGGAUACAAUGAAGUAUGGUUGGAACUAUUUACAUUUUUAAACUUUUUGUAAAUUUUCUUUCCACGAUUUUUAAUUUUCCUAAUUUAAAUAUAUAUUUUUUUUAUUAAUACACACACACACAUGUAUCAAGAAAAACGUGCCCUCCUAGAUUGGAGGGUGCUGCGCAGUCGCACGCUUCAUAUAUACUCAAGCACCCGUUUAUUCCGUCCAUCUCAUAAUGCAGUAAUAAUAUGUAUGUAAUACAAGUGCACGCAUUAUAUACAUUAUACUUCUUUGUCCUAUAACUUUAUUCAUUUUAACUUUCCAUUAUAUUAAUGCCAUUAAAACUAAUAUUUAUAUGUAAUACUUUAAAAUUUUUAUUUUUCAAUUCUAUCAUACGCAAGUAUGUUUUUUUAUAAUUUACAAAAAAAAGUAUGUUUUUUUAUAAAUCUUAAAUUUUGAAAAUUUACGUAAUUAUGACAAGAAUUAUGAAGAGACGUCGUAUUAUUCUAGAUACUUAAUAGCGAGCAUUUUGUUUUUUGUUUUGGUUUAAUUUUAGUCUAAAUAGGGAAACUAAUAUCAAACAAAUUUUCAUGAUGGAUAAAUUUAUAUAAAUGUGAUAUAGUUGAGUUUUUAUUAACUUUGAAGGCACAUACUAUAUUUUAUUGAUAUGGAUGAAAUCUGAACAGUACAUAUAUAUUAAGCAUGUGAAGAACUAUUGCGAAAUUUAUUAGGGAUUGGGGAAUCUAGGUGUAUGAUAUUGAGACAUAACCCUAUUACCAGAAGUAAGAACCUUCAUCUCAUUUUCUUCAUGUAAAAUUAUCGCUCGGAGUUAUCUAAUUUUCAUCAGAAGCACGGUUUAAUGGGAGUGCAGGUGUAGACACGGCGUCUGGGGAUGUAGAAGUUGAUGUUGAUCCAGGUGCGGGGUCUGGAGAUGUGGAAGCUGAUGUUGAUCCAGAUUUCAUUGCAAUGUUGGAGAGCCCACCAAGACGGCCUAAUUUUCUAAAACCUUCGGUUCCGAGUUGUUCCUUUCUUGUCUGGCCACCCUUUUUCCCCAUCAUCUUGUAGCCAUUUAUUCCUAGUUGCUCCCUUCUUGUCUUUCCACCUUUCAUCCGACCUGAACCAGGAUGGAAAAUAGUUAAUAUUUCUUCUCACAAUUAGUAAGAGUUACAAACUAGAUCAUAAAUGCAUGAAAAUGAGUGAUAGUGAAUUUAUAUUAUGAUUUAUACACACUAGUGAUCAUUGAUUCCAUGUACUAGCUGAGAGUAAUAACUAGUCGUAAUGGUUAUUGAUUUAUAGUAAUAGACUCAUGUAGUUAGUGAUUAUUAUAAUCUAAAUUAUUAAAGUAUAUUGUGUGAUCACAAACCUUCAGCAAGUUUUUCUUGAGCUAAAAGACUUUUCCCCCCUUUGCCUCCCGGAACAACCGUUUCUCCUCUCUUGGCCCUAGCGUCAAGUUCCUUUCGUUCUUCUACAGUUGCCAUUCUUGUUGCGGCCUUUGUUGUUGCUGCCAUUGUUAUUUCAAUCUAUCAGGUAUUUUAUUUACUACUAUUGAUAUUAUGAUCUAUGAAAAUGAAGUCGAGUUUAUGCAUUGGUAUAUAUAGCAAGAGGUGUACAUAAUAAACACGGAAUUCUGUUAUUAUUGAUAAGAAAUAGAAGACACGUAGACAUUGAUGAAAUGCAAAUACAUCACAUUAAAUGAAACUGAUGUUCAUUAAUCAUGACACGCAUAUCCUUCUUUCGUCGGUAUUUGCAUGUACUCGCUCACGCUUUUUAUAUACUUGUGCUUUAUGAAGUAAAGGUCGUAUACACCAAAUUAAAAUGAUUUUUUACUUAAAUAAAGUGUUUUCAAUUUUUUGAUCGAUUAGGAAUCUUGCAACAUAUUUGACACUCAUAAACUCCAAGUUACAUAUCUCGAAUUUUGAGCAUCAAACGCCUUGGAUAAACGAUAAUCAAAUAAUCAAAAUCAAAAUCCAAUCUAGAAUUAGUGGCAGACCUACAAUUGGUUGAGAGUAUUUUUGGCCCAUGUUUAAAAUUGUAGGCCCCCUAAUAUUUUUGAAUAACCUAUGUUUGAUUACACCCCUCACCCCACUGUUUUGGCCCAUGUAGAAAUUUUAGUCCAGCCCAACUUUAGUCAGAAGUUAACAUGAAAUAUACAUGAGAUAGACGAACAAGCAUUAGCUAAGUUUAAAAUUGAAACACCUAGUGAUUUUAAUGUUGGACGAAAAUGAGAAACUAGGUAUGAAAUAGAGUAAUUGAACAUAAAAAAAAGUAAGGGCUAGAGCCCGGAACUAAAACGAAAAUCAUGAAAAAAAAUGAUAUUAUCAUUGUGUUGCACUACUAGAUACAACAAAACAUGUUUGUCAUAUGUUAUUACAUGUUAAAUGGGAAAAAUUAGUGUAUAUCGCCUUUCCUUGUCAAAACUUUCUAGAUCCUCUACUGACUAGACUUCAUAAAAAAACAUUAUAUUUAAUUCGGAGUUUAGAUGAUUUCGCCUUGUGAAACUUUUAAGAAUGGAUGAUAAGAAGAGAUCCUAGCUGUUGCAAUUACCCAUAUAUCCCGCUUUCGUGAUGUAAGCCACUAUUGGCAUCCACACGAACGCCUGAACAUCAAUUGAUUGAAUUAGUAGGGAGGUACCAGACCCACCAGGAACAAGUCUCUCUCUCCCUCCCUCCCUCAUGUCUUUGUUUUCUCUUUAAUCAGCCAUGGUUUUGCUAAACAUGUUCAACCUUAGAUGAGCUUUUAAGUUGGUUUAAUUUAAAUAGAGGUAGAAAAAUGUAUCUCAUUGACACUAAUCAUAUUAGUGUUAAUACUAAUCUGAAAUCCCUAAUCAUUAUUAAAUUUUAUUUUAUUUAAUUCACUAAUAUUUGAAUUUUACAAUUAGUUUUAAGUAAUUAUGAAUUUCAUUUUUGCUCAAAAAAGUAAUUAUGAAUUUCAUUUAAUCAAUGAAGUCCCACUUAAUUAAUAUCAUAAAUAAAUUUGAAUAACACAUUUAAUUAAAUUUCCUAGUUUAAAGUAAUUCCCUUUUAAGUUUUCAUCAUAUGUGACCCGAUAGGUUAUAUAUUAUUAUCUAUUACAUUUAUAAUAUUUUCAUAUAUUAGAGGCAUCUACUAAUAUAUGAUUGUUGAAAUAAUAAUAAUAAUAAUAAUAAUAAUAAUAAUAAUAAUAAUAAUAAUAAUAAUAAUAAUAAUAAUAAUAAUAAUAAAUCAGUGAUUUUAUUCAACAUUCUGUGACUAAUGUUCCAUGUAAUUUAAUCCUUAUAACCUUGAAAUUAUAGAUCAAAUUCGAGACAUGGUUUGUGUCACCCAUUUAAUAAUUUAAUAUUUAUUUUUCUUGAUCAAUGAGUAGACUAUCAAAAUUAAAUCAACAUUUGCAUACGGUAGUGCAUUUCAUAAUUUCACUCAAUUGGAAGCCAAAUAAUAUCUGUUACAUAUUUAAUGAUAUCAAACUUAACUAUUUUGAUUAGUUUCAGACUGUGUAUAUCAAAGUUUAGCUGAAGAUCAGAGUUUUCUAAGACAAAAAAGAUAUCAGAAUUUACUCGAGAUAGAUAUUCUUUAGAGUUUGCACCGCCUGGUUUUCAAGAGCGGGUCUGGAUUAAUGAAAGCGGGUAUAUUUUAUGGAGAUACGACAACUCACAACUUUAGGAAGAUUAGUAUAGGAAUCUCUUAUUGAUAUCUUUUGUGAAGCAUAUUAACAUCAUAUCAAUCAGAAGAUAUCUUGUAACUGUGUGUUAUAUAAACACAGCUUAGGUUUACACUAUUGGUGUCGCUUCUCAUAUCAAUAAUAUUAUUUUUUUGUAACCUAGCAGCUCUCAGUGAUAUUGUUACAUCUCUGAGAGAGUGUUCACAUUCACUGUAUCAGUUUUUAUAUAUCAAUAAAAGAUGUAGUUUUAUUUUAUACACUGUGUUUUUCGAAUUGAUUAUAUUCUACCAUAUCAACCCCCCCUUCUACAGUGGUUCCAGGCAUAACAAUUGGUAUUAGAGUCAAUCUGUUACAUACAAACAGUUUAAGAUCCAAAAACUAUAUAAUCAUUAUAGAGAAACACAAACUCCAACAACCAGUAGAUAUGAAUCAAUUAGGGUUCCAAUACUCAAGGCAUUUGAGUAUCCAACUUGGAAGGUUAAGAUGGCUAUGUUUAUGGAGGCUACGGAUCCAGAAUACCUUGAACAAGCCUAUUAAGCUCUCUGUUGCAGUUGGUGAUGAGUAGUAGACAAUGAUCCCAAAGGAGAAAAAAAUUUACACCCCUGAGGAUAUCUCCUCUAUUAGCAAGGAUGCCAAGGUAAGACAUUUAUUACAUAGUGCUCUUGACAAUGUUAUGUCUAACAGAGUCAUUUGAUGCAAAAAUGCAAAGGAAAUCUAGGAUGCUUUGGAAGUCAGAUGUCGUGGAACCAAAGCCAUCAAGAAAAAUAAGAAAACCAUACUCACACAUGAGUAUGAGCCCUUUGACUCAAAGCUUGAUGAUUCUCUAACAAAUCUGUAUGACAGAUUUCUGAAAUUGCUAAAUGAUUUGUCAUUAGUUGAUAAGGAGUACGAUCUUGAAGACUCCAAUCUGAAACCCUGUUGGCAUUCCCCGAGAAAUGGGAUUUGAAAGCUACUACUAUCAGAGACAACUGUAAAGCAUAAUGUAACAUAAUGUAAUAGCCAUAACUCAACACUACAAAAGAAUAGGAAACAAUACGUAAGUAUGAUACAUGAAUCAACAUGUUGGAGAUCCGAUACCAAUAGACAGAGACAAUCAAGAUAUCAGAUACGAACAUUCGUCCACUGAAAGAAGUUCAUUAAUAUGUUCAAACUUCAGUGAAGAAUAAAGUUCAAGUAGUUUCUUCUAUCAAAGAUUACCUGACGAUCAAGUUUCAAGAACUAGAAUAUUCCAGUAUAUCUAUUAAGAUUAUUCGUAAUCAACUUUACUAAAGCAACAUCAAACCCGGAUUGACUGGUCAAGUAUUUCAUCAAGUAAAAAAUACUUCAGUAUUAGUCAUUCGUGAACCAGACCAGUGCACAGGAUGUAAGUACGUACGAAGUUGUUCAAUGCAAUCAAUUAAUUAAUAAUAGAUCAAGUCACCAUUGAGCUGUUCUCGGGUCAAAGAGAAGUCAAACACUUUUGAUUUACGUCAAAUCGAAAAGCGGCGCCAAAGCUACAAAUUCAAAUUAUUUAUACAUAUAUAUAUAUAAUGUUCUUUGGCGCCACAUAAAUUUAAUUAAUUCAAGAAUUAACCAAGUAACAGAGUAUAUAUAUAUAUAUAUAUAUAUAUAUAGUCUUCAAACUGGCGCCACUUGAAGGAGGAAUGCAAAAUUGGCUAAGACAGAAAGUCAAGUAGUGCCACACUAGUAUACAUAGUGUGCCUAGCGUCACUUGAAGUCAGAGUCUGGGUCAAAGGAUUGACAAUGGUGCAUACAUAGGAGAAACUGGCGCCACUAGAAGUUGAGUUGAAUAUUUUCUAAGUAAAGAAGUGGAGUGGCGCCACUAACUCCAUGUGAAGCGCCACUUGGGGUCAGCUCCUGGUCAGAGGAGUGAUAAGGGUGCACACAGAGUCCUUCCAGGCGCCACUUGAUUUUACGGAGAAUAUUUCUAAGGCAAGUCACUCAUGGUGCAUAUAAUGAAGGAAUCUGGCGCCACUUGAUGUUAUAUAUAUUGACUAGCGCUACUUUCAUUGAAUUAACUAGCCCUGGUUAAUUGCUAGGGAACCGGGAUCACUUGGAAUGCUAACCACCCUUAGUUAAAGCUAUAGAACCAGGAUCACUACUCAAAAUUGGGAUAACUCAGCUAACCAUGGUUAGAUGUUGAAGCCUAUUAAUAGAGCCUUGUGUUUCAUUUGAAAACAACUACACACUUUGUAAAGUGCACACACUAUAAACAUACUCAGGAGCGAGGAUAGAAUAUCUGUUAUCACUAGAGUUUGUGUAAAGUUUGAUUUGUGAUCUCUGUAGCUGACCUUUAUGUUGGAAUUUGUGACACCCGGGGAUUAUUUCUAAUACAUGAAUAUUCCCCGAACUUGCUGGAGUUAUUUUACGAUUGACAUACGAACUAAACUGAAUUAUUCCUCAAUUGAUUUAAAAUGACAAAUUGGUAUAAGACAUAUUCAACCCCCCUUCUCCGUCUAAUUAGACCUAACAAUUGGUAUCAGAGCUUGCUGAUCGAUAUACAGAUCUGAAAUCUGUUACCAAAUCAAGAAGCUAGAUGAUCACUCAAUCAUAAUUUCAUCUGAUAACAAGUUAGGAAUCAAGGUACCUCCAUUCAACAAGGAUGGGUAUAAAAACUGGAAAAUGAAAAUAUUGUUAUACAUCCGAGCCACUAAUCCCUUGUACAUUGGGGUUCUAGAAAAUGGACCACAUCUGCCAAUGAAGAUUAUUCCUGAGUCUGUUGAAAAUGAAGUUCGCAUUCCACAUAAAUAUGUUCCUAAAUAUAAAAGAGAAUUCACAUAGACUUACAAGGGGUACAUUGCUCAUGACCAUAAUCUAUAACUCAUCAUUGUCGAAGCAAUGAACAAAACAAUGACCCACCUGAUACUUAGUCUUAAAUCAUCAAAGCAGAUGUGGGAUGUUGUUAAGGCAUUGAUGGAGGGAUCCAAAGAAGUUAGGGAAAACAUAUACGUUCUGUUGAUUGCCAGAUAUGAAGCAUUCAAGUGAAGCGCCACUUGGGGUCAGCUCCUGGUCAGAGGAGUGAUAAGGGUGCACACAGAGUCCUUCCAGGCGCCACUUGAUUUUACGGAGAAUAUUUCUAAGGCAAGUCACUCAUGGUGCAUAUAAUGAAGGAAUCUGGCGCCACUUGAUGUUAUAUAUAUUGACUAGCGCUACUUUCAUUGAAUUAACUAGCCCUGGUUAAUUGCUAGGGAACCGGGAUCACUUGGAAUGCUAACCACCCUUAGUUAAAGCUAUAGAACCAGGAUCACUACUCAAAAUUGGGAUAACUCAGCUAACCAUGGUUAGAUGUUGAAGCCUAUUAAUAGAGCCUUGUGUUUCAUUUGAAAACAACUACACACUUUGUAAAGUGCACACACUAUAAACAUACUCAGGAGCGAGGAUAGAAUAUCUGUUAUCACUAGAGUUUGUGUAAAGUUUGAUUUGUGAUCUCUGUAGCUGACCUUUAUGUUGGAAUUUGUGACACCCGGGGAUUAUUUCUAAUACAUGAAUAUUCCCCGAACUUGCUGGAGUUAUUUUACGAUUGACAUACGAACUAAACUGAAUUAUUCCUCAAUUGAUUUAAAAUGACAAAUUGGUAUAAGACAUAUUCAACCCCCCUUCUCCGUCUAAUUAGACCUAACAAUUGGUAUCAGAGCUUGCUGAUCGAUAUACAGAUCUGAAAUCUGUUACCAAAUCAAGAAGCUAGAUGAUCACUCAAUCAUAAUUUCAUCUGAUAACAAGUUAGGAAUCAAGGUACCUCCAUUCAACAAGGAUGGGUAUAAAAACUGGAAAAUGAAAAUAUUGUUAUACAUCCGAGCCACUAAUCCCUUGUACAUUGGGGUUCUAGAAAAUGGACCACAUCUGCCAAUGAAGAUUAUUCCUGAGUCUGUUGAAAAUGAAGUUCGCAUUCCACAUAAAUAUGUUCCUAAAUAUAAAAGAGAAUUCACAUAGACUUACAAGGGGUACAUUGCUCAUGACCAUAAUCUAUAACUCAUCAUUGUCGAAGCAAUGAACAAAACAAUGACCCACCUGAUACUUAGUCUUAAAUCAUCAAAGCAGAUGUGGGAUGUUGUUAAGGCAUUGAUGGAGGGAUCCAAAGAAGUUAGGGAAAACAUAUACGUUCUGUUGAUUGCCAGAUAUGAAGCAUUCAAGGCAAUACCUAGAGAGAACAUUUCUCAAAUCUACGAGAGGUUCAUGUUGUUAUUAAAUGAACUCACUCUGCAUGGAAAGGCAUAUCCACAAAAAGAGAUUGACAGAAAGUUCUCAUUUGUGAUGCCACCCCAUCUGGUUGUAAAGACUGAGACUAUCCGGGAAAGAAGCGACUUCAUAACCAUGACUCUGGAGAGGUUGUUUGGAAAGCUGGAGACGUUUGAGAUGGAGCUCGAAUAGAGGAACAUUAUAUACGAUGGAAGAUCAUCUGAAGCCAAAAGUAUGGCUCUACAAAAGACUACUGCACUUCGGCUCUACAAAAGACUAUUGCACUAGUGAUUUUCUCAAUUAUGAAAAAUAAAAAUUGUAGAUUUUACUGUAUAAACAGUGAUUAAUGCAUUAUAAACUAGUGAUUUAUGUAGUUGUAAAUAGCGAUUUUAUAACAUGGUUUUAGUUUGUAGUUAAAAUUUGGUUUGUGUAUGAUCACUAGUCUAUAUAUAUGUGUUUGUAUGAGAGAGAGAGAGAUAGUGAUCAAAUACAAACCAUUCCUUAAAUAUAACUAAAAACGAGUGCAGUUUAGUGAUAUUCACUUUAGAAAAUAGUGAUUCAUAUAACUUAAAUUAGUGAAAACCUCCAAAAUUUAGUGAAAACUUUCAAAUAUGUCCUUGUUGUUGGUGGUGGAGAUAAUGAAGGUGGAAAUGGAAGUGGUAGACAUGAAGGUGGAAAGAUAUGGAAGAGGUGGGGAUGAAGAUGUCUCGCUUUGGACAUAGUGGCCAACGGGAGGCACAAUUCGUAGAUUCGGCGGGGGCGGAGGUUGUGAUGAUAGAGAUGGCGGUGACGAUUGUGGUGGAGGUAUGGCAUAUGGGUGUAUGGCAGAAGUGGAGUUUAAAAUGACGAGGGUAUGAUAGAGGUGAAGUUGGAGGCAAGGGAGAAAUGUUUUUUUUUUNNNNGGGGGGGGGGGGGGGGGUUGGCGAAAAUUUUAGUGAUUUUUUCUUUAGGAUUUAGUGAUUUCAAUUAGAUUUUUAAUUUUUAGAUUAAUGAAGUUUGUAGUUAAUAAGACUCUAUAUAGAUCCAUUUAUAUCUAUAAUAUCUGGCUUGGUUACCAAACUAAUUUAUUAAUUAUUGAAAUGCGAAAUUAAGCUCCUUCACAAAAAUGUCAAAAUUUACAAGCCCAUGAAGCCAUAAUAUGCAAAGAAAAGCUCUCACUAUUGGGCUUGUAUAUCCAUAGUCUACGUGACAUCUUCCCCAUAUAAUCUCCCUCUCUCUCACUCUCCCCACAUUCGGAGCAGCAGGCCAGCAGCCACUGCUAGUUUCUUACAUUUUCAUUAAAAUCAACACACAGUCAAGGCUCUAUCAACCCCUCUCUUCAAGUAACAAUCUAUAUCUCAUCUAUCUUACUGUACCAUGUUUAUCCUGCUUUUUUUUUUUUAACCAUCAUUUCACUAUUUUUUGUAUGUUUCUUACUGAUUUUGAGAUCUGAGGAUGUACCUUUUGCGAUUAUCGUGUUUGUGUUCGAUUUUCUCAUCUGGGUCAUGCUCAUUUUGCUUUUUGAGUCGAUAAAUGUGCUUUAGUUUGUGUGUCUUUGUUUGAUGUUUUUUAGUGGUAAAUUAGUAUAUGCUUGUUAUCGAAUGCUAGAUUAGUGUAAUUAUUGGGGAUUUGUUGUUGGGGUUUUGUAAAUUGAGUGGAAUUACUGAUUUAACACAAUGUACAACUCUCUUUGUUGCUUUCGGGCUUUUGGAGGCAUUUUUUCCUUUUUUUUAAUUGAUGAUCGUUAUGUGUUGUGCUAGCAUUGGAAUAUUAUUUAGUGUUUUCCUGAUCCGCAAACAAUUGUGAUAUCUAUAUGCGACUUCAUUAGAUAGAUAUGUAGCAUUAGAUAGAUAUGUAUCUCUCUUUUGAUUUAUAUGUGUUUAAAUAAUGCUAUUGCAUUACUUGCGCUAAAUGAAGUAGCUUACAUUUAAACUUUUAAGUUAUUUGAAUGGGCUUAGUGUAGUUUCUUAUGCCAUUUUGAGUUGCUCUUUAUUUUCUUUCCUGUAUUGGUUUAUGCUGUUUCUAUCCUUUUUUUGGCUAACACCGACUAUUGAGACUUAUUUGAACAAUUAACCUUAUACAUCUUAUUAAGAUACUCUAGGCAUUAUAUCCAUAUUGUAGUAGGGCCUAAAGUCAAAUUGGAAUCUGAUAAUCCUGACACCAAAGAGAUGGUUUCAAAGUAAUAUUGUAGUAUGUGUUAUGAAUAGUCUUUCACUAUCUAUUUUUUACACCCUGUUAUGUGAACUGUGAGUCUGAAUCUUGAUUUGUUACAAUCUGCUACUCCCUGUGAUUUGGAAGUGCCAAUUCCUUUUUAGUAGUUUCUUGAUCUGCAAAUGAGUAUGUUAUUCAUAUUUAUAGACAUAAAAUUAAAAUUCAUUGCACACUUGUGACUUGCCCAAAUGAAGUAGAAGAUAUCUGUGCGUGCUUGAUAUUAAUGUUUUUUCUUUUGCCAAAGUCCUAAUGCAAGGCUCCAUCGUGUUUUUGCCAUUUGGUUACUGUGUGUUGUUUAUAUUUUCUCUUGCCAGUACUGGGUCUUCCUUAGUUCCUUUCAUGAUCAACCAAAUAUAUAUUAUUGAAAUACUUAAUACGUAUAUCUAGUCUCAAACUGAUUUGGAUGUGCUAUAUAAGUAUUUGAAUUUUGAUCUUUUACACUCUAACAUUUAUUCCUUGUAUGCUAUUAAACCUUAUUAAAAACGUUACUUGUCAUCUUGCAAGGUGUAAUAUAGCAUUUUAAAUUUUUAAUCCUUUUUAUGUGUGCAUGGUAACAGGAAAAUGUGGGAAUGGCAUGAUGACGAGUUCGUUCUCGAUGAAGUAACCAAUCUAGGUGAGUCUUUUUUUUCCCACCAACUACUGGAGCUAUCUAAGUUAAUGCUAAUUGCUGACAAUUAUUUUUUCUUUUUGAUUGGGUAACUAGAUGUACCUCAGAGCCUAUGGAAUGAUUUAGUCCCGAAUGAGGAAAAUCUAUCCUGUGUGUUUGAUGAAAUAACUCCAGUAAAAGCCUGUGGAGAUGUGGAUUGCCCCAAUACAAACAAUGGUAGGUUCUUUUCAAACUUAUAUUAAAGUAUACCAAGGAACAAACCAGACGCAUUAGUGCUUAUACUUUUGAAUCAUACAUGCAAUUUGCAGGGGAAAUGUCUGAGUCCAGGAAAGAAACUGCAGAUAAUACACAGGACAGGGAAAAGUGCAAGUCCAAUUCUUCACAUGUAAAGAGGCGCCGGAUGUUACAAUUUGACUCUGAGGCUAUACCUAUUCUUGACUGCAACGAAGACAUGCCCCCGGCAUUCUUAAAAGAAAAGGUAUGUCUCACUGUACAUAUAUAUAUUUUUGGCAUAUAAUCCUGAUAAAUAAGUCAUAUUCAACUUAUGACUUUUUCAUAGAUUAACUGUAUUGUAGAAUGUUGAUUAAGUGGGUAUUAUGUUGAAACUUGUUUGGUUCUGUCUUGUAAUGAACAUGAUGAGGUUUACCUGUAGCCGGCAGGGAUGGCUUUACAGUUUGGAUUCUAAACAAAACAACUUUAAUGACAUUGGCUUAAAUGGGUAGUCAGUAACUUUUACUAUACUAGUUAGAAGAUUAUUAUGCAACUGUAUCCUAUGUUACCCGGACUCUCCAUUUUUGUGCCUAUACCCGUGUCCACCGGACAUGACAUGGGUGUGGGUAUGGGAUCUGUGUCAGAUCUUUCUUAUUUCAACCGGACACCUAACCAUGUAACAUCCCAGGUCAAAAUGAAAACUUAGGUCUUGUUUCAACUUGUUUACAUAGAUCAAGAUCCAUGAAUGACUUGUUUCUAUGUUGUUCUUUUAAUUUUAUGCUUCAAUUUUUAGCGUAUGUGAUUUAUGUGCAGUAGACACUAUUUUAAUGAAUGUACCAUAAAUCAGGGUAUAUAAAGUUUGACUUGCGUGGAGCUUAAGUGCCAAGUCCCCGUACCCGAGUCUAAUUCCGGAUCCACGUCCACGAAUCCUAAUUAUCCUAAAACUACGAAUCUGACUCUUGGAUCUGUACCCGUGUCCAAUACCCAUACCCGUGUCCGGGUAACUUAG
rnacentral:lncRNA from 1 species